CAGUUUUACCUGCCUCUUCGCCUAUUUAAGAUGUGAGCCCUUAAGUCGGAAUUAAGCUUAAGAUGUGGGGGUAAAAGGGCCUACCAUGGCGGACAGAUCUGUAGCUUGGUUCUGAGAGGAUGAUCAGCCACACCGGGACUGAGACACGGCCCGGACUCCUACGGGAGGCAGCAGUGGGGAAUAUUGGACAAUGGGGGAAACCCUGAUCCAGCCAUGCCGCGUGUGUGAAGAAGGCCUUUUGGUUGUAAAGCACUUUAAGCAGUGAAGAAGACUCCGUGGUUAAUACCCACGGACGAUGACAUUAGCUGCAGAAUAAGCACCGGCUAACUCUGUGCCAGCAGCCGCGGUAAUACAGAGGGUGCAAGCGUUAAUCGGAAUUACUGGGCGUAAAGGGAGCGUAGGUGGCUCGAUAAGUCAGAUGUGAAAUCCCCGGGCUCAACCUGGGAACUGCAUCUGAUACUGUUGAGCUAGAGUAUGUGAGAGGAAGGUAGAAUUCCAGGUGUAGCGGUGAAAUGCGUAGAGAUCUGGAGGAAUACCGAUGGCGAAGGCAGCCUUCUGGCAUAAUACUGACACUGAGGCUCGAAAGCGUGGGUAGCAAACAGGAUUAGAUACCCUGGUAGUCCACGCCGUAAACGAUGUCUACUAGUCGUUGGGUCCCUUGAGGACUUAGUGACGCAGCUAACGCAAUAAGUAGACCGCCUGGGGAGUACGGCCGCAAGGUUAAAACUCAAAUGAAUUGACGGGGGCCCGCACAAGCGGUGGAGCAUGUGGUUUAAUUCGAUGCAACGCGAAGAACCUUACCUGGUCUUGACAUAUCUAGAAUCCUGCAGAGAUGCGGGAGUGCCUUCGGGAAUUAGAAUACAGGUGCUGCAUGGCUGUCGUCAGCUCGUGUCGUGAGAUGUUGGGUUAAGUCCCGCAACGAGCGCAACCUUGUCCUUAGUUACCAGCGGGUUAAGCCGGGAACUCUAAGGAUACUGGCCAGGUGAACAACAACUGGGGA
rnacentral:rRNA from 1 species